CACAAGUUGCAUGAAGCUAAAUUGUGGAAGAACUGUAGAAGAUAGCACAAAAAAGUGAAUACAACAUUAAUAGCCGACAAGUUAAUGAACAUUUUAAAGCAAAAAUGAGGUCUCUAGGUGAAAGUAUGCUGAAGUUAUAAGGCUUAGAAGGUGGAAGAAUAAAAGGAAGAUAUGGAAGAUUUCCCCAUUGACUUCAAUGUUAAAAUUUUUGCACAAAAAGUUUAAAAAAAACAAAAAGUAUAAAAGGUAGAAGAGUGAAAAGUAAUAGCUAUCAUGUCCUGAAGGAGUGGAAUAGUUUAAAGUUUGAACGGUUGAAAUCGGACAAAGUUUGAAGGAGGAGAAGCGGUCCAAAAAAGGUACGGAAGAAUAAUAAUAAGUUGAAUAAAGAAACAGGAGAAUAACAAUAAGUGGAAAUGCUUAAUCAGCAUUUCCACUUAACUAGAAAAAUUGCAUUUCCUUGCAGAAAAUGCGUGGAAAUGCUGAGUGCUGAAAGCUGAAAAAGCAAUGCUAAACUGCUAAUAAAACAUGGAGAAAGGUAUAAAUGUUAAAGCUGUUGAAGGGGUGAAAAAGAAAUAUAAGUUGGAUAAUUGAUUAAUUGGUUGAAGGACAAAUAGUAUGAAUAUGCUCUAUAAAAGGAAAUUUUAUUCAUGCUGAAAGAGGCUAGAAAAAUGUCGAAAAUUGCACAAAGUUUGAAUGAAGAAGGAAAUUGCCUUAAAAGGCAGGAAGGUGAGAAGUGGCAUAAGUUUAAAUUGUAGUACUAGAAGUAGUAUGAUAAGAAGUCAAGUCGUGAUACUAGUAGUCAUGUCAGCAGUAGAAGUAGAUUGAGAAUAAAAGAAGUAUAAGUCAAAGUAGUAAAGAAAGUAGAAAUAGGAGCAAUAGCAGUUGAAGUAGAGGGGAAAGUUCUAGUUUAAUUGACAUUAGGAGUAGUUGUCGUACUUGAGGUAGGAUUUUGUUUGAAUGAUGGAGUAAUGCAUAAAUAUUAAAACUAAUUUAAAACAGGGAAAUUUUAAAUUUUUAAAAGUCCUCAAGUAUCAGAAAGUUUUGAAGUAUUAGAAAGGUUUGAAUCAGUUUGAAUGAGUUUAAAUUAGUUUGAAAAAUUAAAUGAUAAAUCAUCACUGACUGACUUUUAAAAUGUGAAAAAUUUAAAUGAAUAACAAUCCUAAAUACACCCAAUAAUGUCCUCAAUGAGCUUAAAUUUCAAAGCCCUGAAUGGUUUCUGUAGGUCAAAGGUCAUAUGAGGAGAUAGGGGCUGAAGUUUUUCCAACGCUCUAGGAAAGGGUUUUAAGUGUCAUCCCCAGUGCUAUGUGUACUGAGCCUGGCUUCAUGUGUCUCAUAUGGCCACUAGAAGCAGCUUUCCAGUCAGCUGUGUGUCUCCAGGUGCACAAAUUGGUUGCCAUGGGGACCUUGGAUGCAUAACUAUAGCAGGAGAAAGAAGGCUUGAAGCCAAAGAAACAGGACUCCAAGUAGGCCCUGACGCUCACCCUCUGUAUAUAUUCAUAAGGAGCUUGUGAGAACACAAGACUCUGCUGAACACAUUAAUACAAUUUAUUAUCACAAUCCUCAAAACACCCCAUAAUAUCUUCAAUGAGCUGAAUUUUUGAAGCCCAGAAUGGUUUCUGUAGCUCAAAGUUUGUGGGUGGAGAUAGGUGGUAAAGCAGACACAUAUUAACUGUGUGUACAAGCAGCUGAACUGCAAGGUGGACCUCAAAAAGCAACAAGUACAAGAAUGUGUGUGCGUGUGUGUCUCGUUAAUGACUGCAUCCUAAACAGCUGUGAGAUCAAAGGCAAAUCACUAACCUACUGUUUGAAUGAGAAGCAGCUGAACUGCAGUGAAUUUCAGCCUGUGAACUUCUUCACAUAGCGUGAUUUCCUUAAGUCCCAGAAUGAAAAUAAGAACAUCGUACGAAUCCUCCGUCCUUCAUGAACACAAUGAUGUGUUUUUCAUGUCUGUACUUCGAAAAAUGAGGCCACAACAGCGAGUUAAAAAAGUCUGAGCCUGAGCGAUGAUCCGGAUUUUCUUGGAGAAAAAUAACAUUAUGGUCAAUGGGAGAGAUUUCCGCCUUCCUUGGACAGUUGGUCAUCUGCUGGCCAAGGGGUAUGAUUUAAUGAUUUGAAACCUCUUUUGUGAGAAGCAGGACACAUAUACCUCCAUUUUGAUGUAUUAUUUAUCGCUGUGGAGUGAGAUUUGUGGGCGUGGGAGCGAUAUAUUCGAGCGAGCUUCUGUCGAUCAGAGACGAGGUCUGCACUCUAGCUGAUGACAUCAUCACUCUAAACUCUCCAAUACACACCCAUUAUAAAGCUUGAAAUUUGCUGAAAACCACAAGUUGCUUAAAGCUAAAUUGUGGAAAAACUGUACAAGAUAUCAAAAAACUGAGUACAACUUUAAUAGUCGACAAGUGAAUGAACAUUUUAAAGCAAAAAUGAGGUCUCUAGGUGAAAGUAUGCUGAAGUUAUAAGGUCUAGAAGGUGGAAGAAUAAAAGGAAGAAGUGGAAGAUUUCCCCAUUGACUUCAAUGUUAAAAUUUUUGCACAAAAAGUUAAAAAAAACAAAAAGUAUAAAAGGUAGAAAGGUAAAAAGUACAAGCAAACAUGUCCUGAAGGAGUGGAAUAGUUUAAAGUUUGAACGGUUGAAAUCGCACAAAGUUUGAAGGAGUUGAAAGCGGACGAAAAACGGCGGAAGAAUAAUAAUAAGUUUAAUAAUAAAGAAACAGGAGAAUAACAAUAAGUGGAAAUGCUUAAUCAGCAUUUCCACUUAAUAAAGAAACGGGAGAAUAACAAUAAGUGGAAAUGCCUAUCAGCAUUUCCACUUAAUAAUAAAGAAAAAUGGCCGACAGGAAUAACAAUAAGUGGAAAUGCUUAAUCAGCAUUUCCACUUAACUAGAAAAAUUGCAUUUCCUUGCAGAAAAUGCGUGGAAAUGCUGAGUGCUGAAAGCUGAAAAAGCAAUGCUAAACUGCUAAUAAAACAUGGAGAAAGGUAUAAAUGUUAAAGCUGUUGAAGGGGUGUGAAAGAAAUGUAAGUUGGAUAAUUGAUUAAUUGGUUGAAGGACAAAUAGUAUGAAUAUGCUCUAUAAAAAGAAAUUUUAUUCAUACUGAAAGAGGCUAGAAAAAUGUCUAAAAUUGCACAAAGUUUGAAUGAAGAAGGAAAUUGCCUUAAAAGGCAGGAAGGUGGGAAGUGGCAUAAGUUUAAUUUUUUAAGUAUUAGAAAGGUUUGAAUCAGUUUGAAUCAGUUCAAAUUAGUUUGAAAAAUUAAAUGAUAAAUCAUCACUGAGUGACUUUAAAAUGUGAAAAAUCUAAAUGUAUAUAAAUCCUAAAUACACCCCAUAAUGUCCUCAAUGAGCUCAAAUUUUAAAGCCCUGAAUGGUUUCUGUAGGUCAAAGGUCAUGUGAGGAGAUAGGGGCUGAAGGUUUUUCAAGCGCUCUAGGAAUGGGUUUUAAGUGUCAUCCCAGGUGCUAUGUUUACUGAGCCUGGCUUCAUGUGUCUCAUAUGGCCAUUAGAUGCAGCUUUCCAGUCAGCUGUGUGUCUCCAGGUGCACAAAUUGGUUGCCAUGGGGACCUUGGAUGCAUAACUAUAGCAGGAGAAAGAAGGCUUGAAGCUAAGGAAACAGGACUCCAAGUAGGCCCUGACGCUCAUCCUCUGUAUAAAUUCAUAAGGAGCUUGUGAGAACACAAGAUUUUGCUGAACACAUUAAUACAAUUUAUUAUCACAAUCCUCAAAACACCCCAUAAUAUCUUCAAUGAGCUGAAUUUUAGAAGCCCAGAAUGGUUUCUGUAGCUCAAAGUUUGUGGGUGGAGAUAGGUGGCGAAGCAGACACAUAUUAUCUGUGUGUACAAGCAGGUGAACUGCAAGGUAGACCUGACAAAGCAACAAGUACAAGAAUGUGUGUGUGUGUGUGUGUGUGUCUCAUUAAUGACUGCAUCCCUAACAGCUGUGAGAUCAAAGGCAAAUCACUGACCUACUGUUUGAAUGACAAGCAGCUGAACAACAGAGGAUUAGAAGCCUGUGAACUUCUUCACAUAGCGUGAUUUCCUUAAGUCCCAGAAUGAAAAUAAGAACAUCGUACGAAUCCUCCGUCCUUCAUGAACACAAUGAUGUAUUUUUCAUGUCUGUACUCCGAAAAAUGUGGCCACAACAGCGAGUUAAAAAUGUCUGAGCCUGAGUGACGAUAAGGAUUUUCUUGGAGAAGAAAUACAUUAGGGCCAAUGGGGAGAUAUUUGCGCCUAUCUGGACAGUUGGUCACCUGCUGGCCAAGGGGUACGAUUUAAUGAUUUGAAACCUCUUUUGUGAGAAGCAGGACACAUAUACCUCCAUUUUGAUGUAUUAUUUGUGUCAGUGGAGUGAGAUUUGUGGGCGUGGGAGCGAUAUAUUCGAGCGAGGUUCUGUCGAUCAGAGACGAGGUCUGCACUCUAGCUGAUGACAUCAUCACUCUAAACUCUCCAAUACACACCCAUUAUAAAGCUUGAAAUUUGCUGAAAACCACAAGUUGCAUAAAGCUAAAUUGUGGAAGAACUGUAAAAGAUAUCAAAAAACUGAGUACAACUAUAAUAGUCGACAAGUGAAUGAACAUUUUAAAGCAAAAAUGAGGUCUCUAGGUGAAAGUAUGCUGAAGUUAUAAGGUCUAGAAGGUGGAAGAAUGAAAGGAAGAAGUUGAAGAUUUCCCCAUUGACUUCAAUGUUAAAAUUUUUGCACAAAAAGUUAAAAAAAACAAAAAGUAUAAAGGGUAGAAAGAAAAAUACACGCAAUAAUGUCCUGAAGGAGUGGAAUAGUUUAAAGUUUGAAUGGUUGAAAUCGGACAAAGUUUGAAGGAGGAGAAGCGGUCCAAAAAAGGGACGGAAGAAUAAUAAUAAUAACUAGAAAAAUUGCAUUUCCUUGCAGAAAAUGCGUGGAAAUGCUGAGUGCUGAAAGCUGAAAAAGCAAUGCUAAACUGCUAAUAAAACAUGGAGAAAGGCAUAAAUGUUAAAGCUGUUGAAGGGGUGAAAAAGAAAUAUAAGUUGGAUAAUAGUUUAAUUGGUUGAAGGACAAAUAGUAUGAAUAUGCUCUAUAAAAGGAAAUUUUAUUCAUGCUGAAAGAGGCUAGAAAAAUGUCUAAAAUUGCACAAAGUUUGAAUGAAGAAGGAAACUGCCUUUAAAGGCAGGAAGGUGAGAAGUGGCAUAAGUUUAAGUUGUAGUACUAGAAGAAGUAUGAUAAGAAGUCAAGUCGUGAUACUAGUAGUCAUGUCAGCAGUAGAAGUAGAUUGAGAAUAAAAGAAGUAUAAGUCAAAGUAGUAAAGAAAGUAGAAAUAGUAGCAAUAGCAGCAGUAGAGAAAGUAGAAAUAGGAGCAAUAGCAGUUGAAGUAGAGGGGAAAGUUCUAGUUUAAUUGACAUAAGUAGUUGUAGUACUAGAGGUAGGAUUUUGUUUGAAGGACGGAAUAAUGCAUAAAUAUUAAAACUAAUAUAAAACAGGGAAAAUUUUAUUAAUUAAAAAUCCUCAAGUAUCAGACAGUUUUUAAGUAUUAGAAAGGUUUGAAUCAGUUUGAAUGAGUUUAAAUUAGUUUGAAAAAUUAAAUGAUAAAUCAUCACUGAGUGACUUUAAAAUGUGAAAAAUUUAAAUGAAUAUAAAUCCUAAAUACACCCCAUAAUGUCCUCAAUGAGCUUAAAUUUUAAAGCCCUGAAUGGUUUCUGUAGGUCAAAGGUCAUGUGAGGAGAUAGGGGCUGAAGGUUUUUCAAGCGCUCUAGGAAAGGGUUUUAAGUGUCAUCCCCAGUGCUAUGUGUACUGAGCCUGGCUUCAUGUGUCUCAUAUGGCCAUUAGAAGCAGCUUUCCAGUCAGCUGUGUGUCUCCAGGUGCACAAAUUGGUUGCCAUGGGGACCUUGGAUGAAUAACUAUAGCAGGAGAAAGAAGGCUUGAAGCUAAGGAAACAGGACUCCAAGUAGGCCCUGACGCUCAUCCUCUGUAUAAAUUCAUAAGGAGCUUGUGAGAACACAAGACUUUGCUGAACACAUUAAUACAAUUUAUUAUCACAAUCCUCAAAACACCCCAUAAUAUCUUCAAUGAGCUGAAUUUUUCAAGCCCAGAAUGGUUUCUGUAGCUCAAAGUUUGUGGGUGGAGAUAGGUGGUGAAGCAGACACAUAUUAUCUGUGUGUACAAGCAGGUGAACUGCAAGGUAGACCUGAUAAUGCAACAAGUACAAGAAUGUGUGUGUGUGUGUGUGUGUGUGUGUGUGUGUGUGUGUGUGUGUGUGUGUGUGUGUGUGUGUGUGUGUGUCUCGUUAAUGACUGCAUCCUAAACAGCUGUGAGAUCAAAGGCAAAUCACUGACCUACUGUUUGAAUGAGAAGCAGCUGAACUGCAGAGGAUUAGAAGCCUCUGAACUUCUUCACAUAGCGUGAUUUCCUUAAGUCACAGAAUGAAAAUAAGAACAUCGUACGAAUCCUCCGUCCUUCAUGAACACAAUGAUGUGUUUUUCAUGUCUGUACUCCGAAAAAUGUGGCCACAACAGCGAGUUAAAAAAGUCUGAGCCUGAGUGACGAUAAGGAUUUUCUUGGAGAAGAAAUACAUUAGGGCCAAUGGGGAGAUAUUUGCGCCUAUCUGGACAGUUGGUCACCUGCUGGCCAAGGGGUACGAUUUAAUGAUUUGAAACCUCUUUUGUGAGAAGCAGGACACAUAUACCUCCAUUUUGAUGUAUUAUUUGUGUCAGUGGAGUGAGAUUUGUGGGCGUGGGAGCGAUAUAUUCGAGCGAGGUUCUGUCGAUCAGAGACGAGGUCUGCACUCUAGCUGAUGACAUCAUCACUCUAAACUCUCCAAUACACACCCAUUAUAAAGCUUGAAAUUUGCUGAAAACCACAAGUUGCUUAAAGCUAAAUUGUGGAAGAACUGUAGAAGAUAUCAAAAAACUGAGUACAACUAUAAUAGUCGACAAGUGAAUGAACAUUUUAAAGCAAAAAUGAGGUCUCUAGGUGAAAGUAUGCUGAAGUUAUAAGGUCUAGAAGGUGGAAGAAUGAAAGGAAGAAGUUGAAGAUUUCCCCAUUGACUUCAAUGUUAAAAUUUUUGCACAAAAAGUUAAAAAAAACAAAAAGUAUAAAGGGUAGAAAGAAAAAAAAUACACGCAAUAAUGUCCUGAAGGAGUGG